GGGCUCAGAACGAACGCGGGCGGCGUGGCUAACCCAUGCAAGUCGAACGCCAAAGCGGGGGCAACUCCGCGAGUAGCGUGGCGAAAGGGUGCGUAAUGCAUAGGUAAUGUACCCCGGACACGAGGAUAGUCCAUCGAAAGAUGGAGCAAUACUCGAUGAGACCACGGAGUGGCAUCACUCUGCGGUCAAUGGGCGAGGACCCGCAAGGGCUUGUCGGUCUGGGAUCAGCCUAUGUCCCAUCAGCUAGUUGGUGAGGUAACGGCCCACCAAGGCAACGACGGGUAGCCGGACUGAGAGGUCGACCGGCCACAUUGGCACUGAGACACUGGCCAGACUCCUACGGGAGGCUGCAGGGACGAAUAUUCGUCAAUGGACGAAAGUCUGAACGAGCGACGCCGCGUGUGGGAAGAAGUCCUUCGGGAUGUAAACCACUGUAGAGGGUUACCAAGCGACUGCGCCCAAUAUGCGCAGAAGUUGAGGAACUCUAAAGUAAGCCACGGCUAACUUCGUGCCAGCAGCCGCGGUAAGACGAAGGUGGCUAGCGUUGUUCGGAAUCACUGGGCUUAAAGCGCACGUAGGCGUCCUGUUAAGUGUCUUGUGAAAUCCCCCGGCUCAACCGGGGAACCGCUGGGCAUACUGGCAGGAUUGAGGCAGGUAUGGGUGCAUGGAACUCUUGGUGGAGCGGUGAAAUGCGUAGAUAUCAAGAGGAACGCCGGAGGUGAAGACGAUGCACUGGGCCUGUCCCGACGCUGAGGUGCGAAAGCCAGGGGAGCAAACGGGAUUAGAUACCCCGGUAGUCCUGGCCGUAAACUAUGUCCACUAGGUUGAGGUUCUUUUGACGGAUCCUCGGCCGCAGUAAAAACGUUAAGUGGACCGCCUGGGGAG
rnacentral:rRNA from 1 species